GGCGGUACAGCGUUCCCGACGCUGAAACCUGCCUUAAGGGGCCCAUCUGGUGCGGCUUGCGCAGCUGGGGAUCAAACCGCGAUCCCCUGCACCUGCCUUGAGUUUGCCCAAGGAGGCACUUUCAACAGCUUAGCUAACCCACAAGCCCCUGUGUACAUGAAUGAGAAGUGAAGAAAGACGCAAUUUGAGGCAGUUUAUUCGUUUUGCCAAAUAUGAAAAGGGAAGGGUUUACAGGAUGUUCAGG